AACACUGUUAACCUGCGGUACCUGCGGAAGGAUCAUUAUCCAUCCAAAACCAGCUGCGGUCGCGGCCCCACGCUUACCCGUGGCGGUACGCGCCGCACGUCUGCACCCUUUUUUUACGAGUACCUUCGUUCUCCCUCGGCAGGGCAACCUGCCGUUGGAACCAUACAAAACCUUUUUUUGCAUCUAGCAUUACCUGUUCUGAUACAAACAAUCGUUACAACUUUUAACAACGGAUCUCAG
rnacentral:misc_RNA from 1 species